rnacentral:rRNA from 1 species
AGCGAACGCUGGCGGCAGGCCUAACACAUGCAAGUCGAACGAACUCUUCGGAGUUAGUGGCGGACGGGGGAUUAACACGUGGGAACGUGCCUUUUGGUUCGGAAUAACUCAGGGAAACUUGUGCUAAUACCGAAUGUGCCCUUCGGGGGAAAGAUUUAUCGCCAUUAGAGCGGCCCGCGUCUGAUUAGCUAGUUGGUGAGGUAACGGCUCACCAAGGCGACGAUCAGUAGCUGGUCUGAGAGGAUGACCAGCCACACUGGGACUGAGACACGGCCCAGACUCCUACGGGAGGCAGCAGUGGGGAAUCUUGCGCAAUGGGCGAAAGCCUGACGCAGCCAUGCCGCGUGAAUGAUGAAGGUCUUAGGAUUGUAAAAUUCUUUCACCGGGGACGAUAAUGACGGUACCCGGAGAAGAAGCCCCGGCUAACUUCGUG